GAUAUUUUAGGUUCAUGCUAUUGAUAUUGAACAAAAAGAGGUUGUUGCUAAGAAGACUGUUGCUACCAAAAAAAACAUACAUCUCAGAGAUGCUUUUGCUACUUAGUUUUAUUUCUUUUUAAGUUAUGAAUUGGUUGUAUAUAGAAUCUUUAGAAGUUAAACGAUUAUAUAUCAGUGAAUUGUUGUAUAUGUAUGGAUUGUUGUAUAUAAGGCUUGUUGAAUGCAAUGUGUGAAAAAGGGCUUCAAAUUAUAUAGUUUUGGGUGUACUGCUUCAAUAUACAGGUUGUCUAAAAUAAAAAAAAAAAAUAGCGCUUUUUAAAAAAAAA
rnacentral:lncRNA from 1 species